AUGAGCGUUCUUGAAAGUUCUUUACCAACUGUCAAAUGUGAUGUGUCUGUGAAAAGAAAACCUGAUCAAUAUCCAAGAACAAGAGUGGGCAUGGAUAUGUUUCUUCAAAUGACAGGCCAUCUGGAAAACAGUGGAGGAACGAAGUCACAAUCAGGGCACCUGAACCUGAGAGUUUUCCUCUUUUCACGAUGUGCCAGUUGCAUAGAAAGCAGCAGAGGAGGCUCAUUUUGGCUCUAAGACGUGGACAGGGCAUGGACAAGCCACACACAACUGGGUCUGCGUUGCCACCAGUGGGAGGCAUAUAGCACUGCUGGGGCAGGAGAGGACUGUCAGAGGCACACGGACAAAACCUUCAAAAAACCAUCAAAUCACAAGGUGAGAAGUUAUUCCCUUUCUACUUCUCUUUCAGUCCUCGAGGAGCAGGACUCUGCCUGGUGCUAGUGUAUUUUAACACCUCUCUAACACUUACUAAUGUCCCUUUAUAAUAAAGUGAGAAGGCAGGCCUCA
rnacentral:lncRNA from 1 species